rnacentral:rRNA from 1 species
GUGGGGAAUAUUGGACAAUGGGCGCAAGCCUGAUCCAGCCAUACCGCGUGGGUGAAGAAGGCCUUCGGGUUGUAAAGCCCUUUUGUUGGGAAAGAAAUCCUGUCGAUUAAUACUCGGUGGGGAUGACGGUACCCAAAGAAUAAGCACCGGCUAACUUCGUGCCAGCAGCCGCGGUAAUACGAAGGGUGCAAGCGUUACUCGGAAUUACUGGGCGUAAAGCGUGCGUAGGUGGUGGUUUAAGUCUGCUGUGAAAGCCCUGGGCUCAACCUGGGAAUUGCAGUGGAUACUGGAUCACUAGAGUGUGGUAGAGGGAUGCGGAAUUUCUGGUGUAGCAGUGAAAUGCGUAGAGAUCAGAAGGAACAUCCGUGGCGAAGGCGGCAUCCUGGGCCAACACUGACACUGAGGCACGAAAGCGUGGGGAGCAAACAGGAUUAGAAACCCCAGUAGUCC